rnacentral:rRNA from 1 species
GACAGAGGAGGCAAGCGUUGUUCGGAAUCACUGGGCGUAAAGCGCACGUAGGCUGAUUGGUCAGUUGGGGGUGAAAUCCCGGGGCUCAACCUCGGAACUGCCUUCAAUACUGCCAGUCGUGAGUCCGAGAGAGGUGAGUGGAAUUCCUAGUGUAGAGGUGAAAUUCGUAGAUAUUAGGAAGAACACCAGUGGCGAAGGCGGCUCACUGGCUCGGUACUGACGCUGAGGUGCGAAAGCGUGGGGAGCAAACAGG